rnacentral:rRNA from 1 species
AACGAACGCUGGCGGCAGGCUUAACACAUGCAAGUCGAACGGUUGUAGCAAUACAGCAGUGGCAGACGGGUGAGUAACACGUGGGAACCUUCCUAGGGGUACGGAACAACUCAGGGAAACUUGAGCUAAUACCGUAUACGUCCGUGAGGAGAAAGAUUUAUCGCCCUUAGACGGGCCCGCGUAGGAUUAGGUAGUUGGUGGGGUAAUGGCCUACCAAGCCUACGAUCCUUAGCUGAUCUGAGAGGAUGAUCAGCCACACUGGGACUGAGACACGGCCCAGACUCCUACGGGAGGCAGCAGUGGGGAAUCUUGGACAAUGGGCGCAAGCCUGAUCCAGCCAUGCCGCGUGAGUGAAGAAGGCCUGGUU